UACGUGAGGGUCCGAGCGUUGUCCGGAAUUAUUGGGCGUAAAGCGCGCGUAGGCGGUUACGCAAGUCGGUUGUGAAAAUCCGGGGCUCAACCCCGGACCUGCAUCCGAUACUGCGUGACUAGAGGUAGGUGAGGGGAGAUCGGAAUUCCUGGUGUAGCGGUGAAAGUGCGCAGAUAUCAGGAGGAACACCGGUGGCGAAGGCGGAUCUCUGGGCCUUACCUGACGCUCAGGCGCGAAAGCUAGGGGAGCGAACAGG
rnacentral:rRNA from 1 species